GGAAGGAUCAUUACUGAGCUAAAACCUAAGCUUGGUUGCAAUUCGGGCCGCGCCUCUGGCCACGGCCGUCGUCGACUCUUUCCGCCUCUGACGACCGGUUUGCACCUCGCUCCAGCAUGCUCACGCAUGCGGGAAACAAGCAGCGUCUCUUGCUUGUCCCACGGGGAAGUUUGUGGUGGCCACGCGCUGCUGCCUAUGAAACCGUGGAUGCGUCGAGGAAAGUAGCUAUAUCCAAAUGACUCUUGCAGACUGUGCGUUCUGUUGUCUGCUUCGCCUGGAGAUUUAGCGGCUAGUACUCGGUACGUUGUGUGUCUCGGUGGUGCAUCUGGUUGACUUGUUACGUCCUAUGCCCGGUAUCGGACCCGCCUGGUCGCGAUACAAUGCCCUUGGAUGGAACGCUCGUCGACUGGUUGAACUGUUGAUGUCGCACAAGGGCCGCCUUUACCCUGCUAGUGCUCGCGCUCUAUUGAGCAUUAGCGAAGCCUCUUGAACUACAGGUACCUACGCUGGUUUUCCUGUCGCGCCUGUCGUCGUUACUCCACGCCUCUUUAAGAGGUAGUCCCACCGCUUCUUUCUGACCGGGGACGACUCUUACACUGCCCAGGAGUUUGAUGUUCAGACGAGCUGCCCAUAGCGAAGACGGGGAAUCUACGGUAACUCCCGCCUGGAGGUAGGUUCAAUGAGUGGCCGAUCCGGCUGACGCCUGUUCAUAAUAUUUUUAACCACGAUUUUAAGCCUAACGGCGUAAAAGUACUAUUCUAAGCGGUGGAUCACUAGGCUCGUGGGUCGAUGAAGAACGCAGCUAGCUGCGAGACUUAAUGUGAAUUGCAGACACAUUGAUCAUCGACAUUUUGAACGCAUAUUGCGGCGCCGGGUAUCAUUCCCAGCGCCACAUUUGUCUGAGGGUCGCUUUUCGAAGCUAUCGUCUUUUCUCCGAUGCCUCUAGAGAGAAGUCGUCCCGCCGGCUCUUUCUGACCAGGGACGCGUCUCUCGCCGACCGGGAGAUGGACGCUUUGGUGAGCUGCAGAACGGCUCUUGGUCUGAAGCGAUUUUUUCGGACUGAUUCUGCACCUCGCUCGAAUGCAGGUCGCUCGCUGCCCGCGCCUCUUGGGUAGCUACAUCGCCUCGUGAAUGACAGGCCGCUCUCUGUCGAUCUACGGAGGGUCUUUAGCGGCUUUUGUCAGCUCACAUCACGACCUCAGAUCAAAUGUGAGUACCCGCUGAAUUUAAGCAUAUCACUAGGCGGAGGAAAAGAAACUAACCAGGAUUCCCUUAGUAACGGCGAGUGAACAGGGAAGAGCCCAGCACCGAAUCCUUCGGCGUCGCGCCGUUAGGAACUGUGGUGUGUAGGAGAGCACGUCCGUUGCGGUCGCCAUUCCUAAUUCCUCUUGACCGGGGAUCCCGCAGAAGGUGCAAGGCCUGUGCGGAUGGGGUCCGUAGCGGUAUGAGCCUCCUCGGAGUCGGGUUGCUUGAAAGUGCAGCCCAAAGUGGGUGGUAAACACCAUCUAAGGCUAAAUAUGACCACGAGACCGAUAGCAAACAAGUACCGCGAGGGAAAGUUGCAAAGAACUUUGAAGAGAGAGUUCAAGAGGGCGUGAAACCGCUUGGAAGUAAACAGGUGGAACCGGCGUUAGUCCGCUGGAUUCAGCCUAAUCUUGCCGGGGUUCUCGGCGCCCGAUUCUUACUGCCCUGUCGAGAUAUCCCGGUUUGAUGGGUGCAUUUCUGGUGGAUGCGCACCAAGGGCGGCGGGUACGCGGCGUGAUGCGGGCGGGAGCCGACCAGUGUUCGCAUUGGUGCCCUACUGCUCGCGGAGCGCGCGUCGUGGCCCGCCGCAAGGACGAGACACCCGCCUUUGGCUCGGUACCGCGGCGGCCGGGGGGAUCGCCCCGUCCGGUGUUCCUGUCUCAGGACCCGGCAAUUCUCUCCCUGGCGUACUGUGGGCGUCGAGUCGGUGUCGCGCCUUGGUGUUCCAGUCGGUCACCCACCUGACCCGUCUUGAAACACGGACCAAGGAGUCUAACAUGUGCGCGAGUUAUUGGGUUGCUAAACCUAAAGGCGUAAUGAACGUGAAGAUCGGUUCCGCCGGUCGAUAUGGGAUCCCCUGCUUCGGCGGGGGCGCACCAUAGUCCCGUCCCAUCCGCAUCGCCGGAGGGGCGGAGAUAGAGCGUACACGUUGGGACCCGAAAGAUGGUGAACUAUGCCUGAGCAGGACGAAGCCAGAGGAAACUCUGGUGGAGGUCCGAAACGGUUCUGACGUGCAAAUCGAUCGUCAGACUUGGGUAUAGGGGCGAAAGACUAAUCGAACCAUCUAGUAGCUGGUUCCCUC
rnacentral:misc_RNA from 1 species